rnacentral:misc_RNA from 1 species
GUUUCUUAUUCCGUAGCUCUAUGGUGAGUUCCUGUAUUUGCUUGUCUUUUUCAUCCAUGGUCUGCCGAGCUUCACGAGGAGCAACCACAAGAGGAUGAUUAUGUUCCUUUACAAAUUUUGUUAUCACCCAUUUCCCAGACUUAUCAUAUUUGACAUGAAUCAUUGCCUUACAGCCUUCUCGUGUGCUCGGCCGUGGCUUCCGAACUGCCCCAAAUUUACCUCGGAUGCUGACACAAUAUCCCUCUUUGUUGCAUCCAAGUCUUCGGGCAAGUAUUCUCCCAUCUUUUUCAGAACGACGACA